GUUCUCAGUUCGGAUCGGAGUCUGCAACCCGACUCCGUGAAGCUGGAUUCGCUAGUAAUCGCGCAUCAGCCAUGGCGCGGUGAAUACGUUCCCGGGCCUUGUACACACCGCCCGUCAAGCCAUGGAAGCCGGGGGCGCUUGAAGUGCGUUGCCGCAAGGCGCGCCCUAGAGCGAAACCGGUGACUGGGGCUAAGUCGUAACAAGGUAGC
rnacentral:rRNA from 1 species